GAGUUUAUACUUAACAGGAUGCUUUUCCACUCCUUACAGAGUGAUUUUUUAUUUGCUUCUAUCAAUAUUCCAAUGACUCUAAUGGCCUGGAGAGGGGAAAAUAUGUUCGCUUUUAGCUCCAGGAUUCCCAAAUCCUCUGGGAGAUCCCCUGGGCUUACAGCUCCUUCCUAUUUUCCUGACCUUAUAGGCAAAGUGAUUGUUUUGUCUUUUUUCCCAAUUUCCAGAUUUAUCUAUGGGCAGGACUUCGAGGAGGCUUCCCUUAAUCAGAGUCUUAGCUCUCGCCUGAAGCAAAUGCAAGCCUGUCACAUCUCUGCCCUUAAAUUGAGAAUUGAAACUCCAGCCCUCCGUGUCUUAGCCCAAAUGUUGCCUUUUUGGCCUGCCUCGCCCUGCUAUCCUGUGCCCAUAUAAACCCCAGACCCCAGCUGGCAAAGAGAAAAGUGGCUGAACACCAAGAGAAGAAGCAACAGAGCAUUGGAGACUAUAGAUAGAUGUGGCUUAACUUUAGAUGGCAUGACUUCAGAGAGGAGCCCGGUCGUCUCUGGGAAAGAUCACCUUCAUCCUACACCAUCCCCUCUCCAGCUCCUGAUUCUCUGAGAGCCACUUCCACUGCUUAAUAAAAUCCUCUGCAUUCAUCACCUUUCAAACAGUUCAUGUGAUCUGAUUCUUCUGGAUGCCAAACAAGAACUUGGGUAUCAAAGGGGCAGGUGCAGAAGGCUGUCACCCUGACCUACCACUGAGCUGUCAACACUUAGCCAUCCAUAGACAGCAAAUUGUAUACAUUUGCUAAAUUUACAAAAACUAAAAUUGUAGCUAAAACUGUAACACACCCGUAGAAUGCUGCCAUGGGGCUGGAGCCCAAAAGCGCUUGGCCCGGCCCUGGCACCCAC
rnacentral:lncRNA from 10 species